CCUACGGGAGGCAGCAGUGAGGAAUAUUGGUCAAUGGCCGGAAGGCUGAACCAGCCAUGCCGCGUGAAGGUCAGUGCCCUAUGGGCGUUAAACUUCUUUUGUGCGGGAGCAAUAAUGGUCACGUGUGGCCAGACGAGAGUACCGUACGAAUAAGCAUCGGCUAACUCCGUGCCAGCAGCCGCGGUAAUACGGGGGAUGCAAGCGUUAUCCGGAUUUAUUGGGUGUAAAGGGUGCGUAGGCUGUGAGGUAAGUCAGCGGUGAAAUGCCCCCGCUCAACGGGGUGAAGUGCCAUUGAUACUGCCUGGCUGGAAUGCGGAUGCCGUGGGAGGAAUGUGUGGUGUAGCGGUGAAAUGCAUAGAUAUCACACAGAACACCGAUUGCGAAGGCAUCUCACGAAGCCGCGAUUGACGCUGAUGCACGAAAGCGUGGGUAUCAAACAGGAUUAGAUACCCUGGUAGUC
rnacentral:rRNA from 1 species